rnacentral:rRNA from 1 species
CAUAUCAAUAAGCGGAAGGAAAAGAAACCAACAGGGAUUGCCCUAGUAACGGCGAGUGAAGCGGCAACAGCUCAAAUUUGAAAUCUGGCGCAAGCCCGAGUUGUAAUUUGUAGAGGAUGCUUCUGGGCAGCGGCCGUUCUAAGUUCCUUGGAACAGGACGUCAUAGAGGGUGAGAAUCCCGUAUGUGACCGGCGCGCACCCUCCACGUAGCUCCUUCGACGAGUCGAGUUGUUUGGGAAUGCAGCUCUAAAUGGGAGGUAAAUUUCUUCUAAAGCUAAAUACCGGCCAGAGACCGAUAGCGCACAAGUAGAGUGAUCGAAAGAUGAAAAGCACUUUGGAAAGAGAGUUAAAAAGCACGUGAAAUUGUUGAAAGGGAAGCGCUCACAACCAGACUUCGCAGCGGUGUUCCGCCGGUCUUCUGACCGGUCCACUCGCCGCCGCGAGGCCAACAUCAUCUGGGGCCGCCGGAUAAGACCGCAGGAAUGUGGCUCCCCUCGGGGAGUGUUAUAGCCUGCGGUGAUGCGGCGAGUCCCGGGUGAGGUCCGCACUUCGGUAAGGAUGUUGGCGUAAUGGUUGUCAGCGGCCCGUCUUGAAACACGGACCAAGGAGUCUAACAUCUAUGCGAGUGUUCGGGUGUCAAACCCCUACGCGUAAUGAAAGUGAACGGAGGUGGGAACGCAAGUGCACCAUCGACCGAUCCUGAUGUCCUCGGAUGGAUUUGAGUAAGAGCAUAGCUGUUGGGACCCGAAAGAUGGUGAACUAUGCCUGAAUAGGGUGAAGCCAGAGGAAACUCUGGUGGAGGCUCGCAGCGGUUCUGACGUGCAAAUCGAUCGUCAAAUUUGGGUAUAGGGGCGAAAGACUAAUCGAACCAUCUAGUAGCUGGUUCCUGCGAU